AUAAUUGUAACUGAAAAUACCACCCUUUUUUAAAAAAUUUGGAACUAUCACCUAUAAAUAUAAAAUUAUUGUACUCUUAUUGCUGAUUUUUCACAAGUUCAGAAAUUUGUUCUCUCAGCUCACACAACUCUCUCUCUCUGGCACAACUCUCUUUCUCUUUGGUAUCUGUCUAUCACAGCUCUCUGGCUCUCUCUUGGCUCUCUCUCUCUCUCUAGCACAACUCUCUGUCUCUCUCUCCAGAUCAAUCAGAAUUCGGAUCAACCCCUCAUUGUCCGUCUCUUUCCACAAAACCACUCUCUAUUCGUGAAACCAACCGCGAAUCUCACAGAAGUUUCCUUCUUCAGCUCAAAAAGCAUACGCCAUGAUUUGAAUCACCAGGAAUUAAUCGGACCACCCCAACCAGAAUGACGUGGUUCAGUGGGAAAGUCUCUUUGGGGAACUUCCCCGAUCUCGCCGGGGCCGUGAAUAAGCUCCAGGAGAGCGUCAAGAACAUCGAGAAGAACAAGCUGAUGAUAAUGAAGCUGAUGUUAAAGGGCAACAUCUGAGCUCAGGGGAAAAUGCGUCUGACUCUUCAGUGAUUGAAUUGGAGAAGGUGAAGAUGGAGAUGAAGAUGAUGGAAGCUGCAUUGCAAGGUGCUGCAAGACAGGCCCAGGCAAAAGUUGAUGAGAUUGCAAAGUUUAUGAAUAAAAAUGAACAAUUAAAAUCUGCGAUCGAGGAUUUGAAG